UCUUUCAGGUGGAUGUUGCAUGUGGGAGGAUUGGAGCUGUAUAUUUCAGGUUCAAGCAUCUGGUGAGAUAAACGAGUUUCAAAACAAAAUAGUCUGCGGUUUUGAGAAGCGAUUCUCAAUGCCAUUUUAUGUGUAAAUGCAUAUUUCAGAUUCAAGCAUCUGGAUGAUGAAAUAUACGAAACUGUUGAAAUUUCAGGGUGAAGUCGAGCACAUUUCUCUAAUGAAGCCAAAGAUUUGUAUCUUCAGCAUUAUUGUAAUUGUAACUGUAAUUGAUUGAAUGAAUUGGAUUGUAAUUGAUUGUAAGUGUAAUUGAUUGAAUGAAUUGGAUUGUAAUUGAUUGUAAUUGUAAUUGAUUGAAUGAAGGAUUGUAAUUGAAUGAAUGAAUGAUUGUACAGGUGGUAAUUGAAUGAACAAAUGAUUAUAUAUAAUUUUUUAAUGUACAAAAUAGCUACGGAUAUUGACCAUAACCACUAA